rnacentral:tRNA from 1 species
GGGUGGGUGCUCGAGUGGUUGAAGAGGCACGCCUGGAACGCGUGUAAAUCGCAAGGUUUCGAGGGUUCGAAUCCCUCUCCACCCGCCA